CUUCUCAGUCUGUGAGGUGAGUAAACGAUCAUGUCCUCUGAAACCCAUAUCAAAGGGGAUGCUCUACCUUUCUAUGGUGUUUUCCUUUUAUUUAAAGCCCUUUUACAAAAACCAAUGGAAGUUGUUAUGACGUGAGAGGUAGAAAAGUUGCCAAAUGUCUUGGAAACACAGGCAGCUACUUCUGGGAAAGAGGAUAGCUAAGGGCUAACAGGAAGGCAACUGCCUGCUUCCAAAUUUAGAUUCAAUGUCCCAAAAACCAUAAAUCUGCUGAAUUUCAUCUCUGUCUCUUCAGGACUCUUAAAAAUCUUGUGCUUGAGAUGCUGUGUCUCAGGACUUUUGAAGUUCCAGAAGGGCUGGAACUGCAGAGAGCUGAGAUAAGAGCCCUACCCCUUCCUUGGUGCCGUGAGCACGAGAUGAAGGAUGAAGAGGAACUCAAGAUGCUGUCAAGAUUUCCCUUUGUACAUAUCUGAUCAGUUCAUGCCAGCUUUGGCUCCGUGCCUUUCCAGGGGAGAGCCUCCACCAGCAGGACAAGGUGGUUCAGCCCUCGGCGCAGCAAUGGAGACAGGAUUAGGAGCUGGGCUGGGGAUGGCUCCCACUCCACAAGGCAUGGGAUCUGUGAGAAAUACCUUGGGAAGACAUUGUCAGAGGUGUGCCUUUUUCUGGAGAGGUGGGUAUUGCCUGGAUGUGCUCCUUGGCUGCCAUAAAUCAGUAUAAACGCAUUCAUUUUAGUGGAGGUGUCGUGUCUGCUGGAGUCAGGCCCUGUGAUGUUGCUCAUUACACAGGUUUUGGGUAAGGAGCCAA